rnacentral:rRNA from 1 species
UAUUGCGCAAUGGGCGAAAGCCUGACGCAGCGACGCCGCGUGAGGGAUGAAGGUCUUCGGAUCGUAAACCUCUGUCAGCAGGGAAGAACGGUCACUGUGCUAAUCAGCAGUGAAUUGACGGUACCUGCAAAGGAAGCACCGGCUACCACCGUGCCAGCAGCCGCGGUAAUACGGAGGGUGCGAGCGUUAAUCGGAAGUCAGGGGCGUAAAGCUCUCGUAGGCGGUAUGGCAAGUCAAGGGUGAAAUCCCCGCGCUCAACGUGGGAACUGCCUUUGAAACUGGCAAACUGGAGUGUGUGAGAGGAUAGUGGAAUUCCAGGUGUAGGAGUGAAAUCCGUAGAUAUCUGGAGGAACAUCAGUGGCGAAGGCGACUAUCUGGCACAUAACUGACGCUGAGGAGCGAAAGCGUGGGUAGCAAACAGG